UACGUAGGUGGCGAGCGUUGUCCGGAUUUACUGGGCGUAAAGGGCGUGCUGGCGGUUUGUUAAGUGCAGGGUGAAAGCUCCCGGCUCAACUGGGAGAGGUCCUUGCAUACUGGCGAACUCGAGGGAGGCAGAGGAAAGUGGAAUUCCCGGUGUAGUGGUGAUAUGCGUAGAUAUCGGGAGGAACACCUGUGGCGAAGGCGGCUUUCUGGGCCUUACCUGACGCUGAGACGCGAAAGCGUGGGGAGCGAACCGG
rnacentral:rRNA from 1 species